UACGUAGGGACCAAGCGUUGUCCGGAAUCAUUGGGCGUAAAGCGCGCGUAGGUGGCUUCGUAAGUCCGUUGUGAAAGUCAAAGGCUCAACCUUUGAAAGCCGAUGGAUACUGCGGAGCUAGAGUACGGAAGAGGCGAGUGGAAUUCCUGGUGUAGCGGUGGAAUGCGCAGAUAUCAGGAGGAACACCAAUAGCGAAGGCAGCUCGCUGGGACGUUACUGACACUGAGGUGCGAAAGCGUGGGGAGCGAACAGG
rnacentral:rRNA from 1 species